GACUAUCCACAAAGUAAUAAAUUACCUUUUCUGCCGCCCAUGCCUUCACUUUCUCUCCCUGAAAAAUCAAAAAGGAAAUUUAUUAUAUUGUCUCCCUAAAUUUUCUCAAGCGUUUUUAGAAUCUUUGAAAAUCCAGCAGCAAAAGGACAUAGCAGUCUUCAACUCGAACACUCCAAUUCUUUCAGGUGGUAUACGGUUGGUUGUCUGGAUUUGCAUCAAGGACAUUGGAACACAAAUUGGUUCAUUAAUACCCUGGUAUGAAAGGUAAAGGACGUUAAAAUAUUUGCAGCAUUCAUCCAGCUGGAAACUUGAAUUAUGGCUAGUGGAGAGGUUAGAAAAGUUGAACGUCAAGAUAUACAGUUGGUGCAAGAUCUUAUUGAAAGAUGUCUUCAGCUUUACAUGAGCCAGAAGGAAGUAGUCAAUACCCUUCUACAUCAGGCUAAAAUUGAGCCUGAUUUUACUGAACUAGGGAAGGUUUUGGGAAGGGAAGCUUGAUGGCAGUGUUCCGGAGUCUUAUAGCUGGCAAAUUAAACCUGAACCCAACAACCUGCCCAAGCCACCUGCAAAUACAGAAGGUUGGGUCAGUUGGGUUAUGGGUUUUGGGUAUAAGAAACCCAAAUCUUUUCUAAGUGGGUUGGAUUUUUAAUUGGGCGGCCAAAUAAGUCAAAUAUAAAAUCCAAGUAUUCAUAAGAGCAAAUAAAAAAUCACACACCAAUUGCCAUUGCCAAGCAGAUUCGGGUUUCAGGAGCCUUUUGUCGGAGGGAAACGAAAAGCUAAAACAAAUUUCAAACAACCAUACACCUGAACCACCAUUUCCUGAUCCAUGUUUAUUGCAGUCUCUUUAGAUCAAAUUCUGCCAACCAUUCACUCUUUCUCUACUUACUUGGUUUCUUCCAUAAGCAAGUAGCUACUUCGCUCUUGAAACACACUGACUUUUUCCAUUUUUUUUGUUUUCUUCUUUUCUUUUUUCCAUUUGUGGAAACAGGAAAAGUGGUAAAGCCAAGGUAAUUCAGUAAAUUAUUUUUCAUCAAACCAGAAUUGCUAGCCCCCAUAUUAAUGGAUGGAUCAAAUGCAAUACAAAAGGCUUUACAGAUGAAUAGGGAAAUCUAGAAGUACAUAGGUCAGCAUCCUAUUUCUGAAGUGUGAAAAUCUGGUCUCUGUGUGUGUGUGAAUAGUAAACUGUGUCGGACAGAGUGCAGGUAUUUUUUCCAAGCGAACGUGUGUUAAAUGAUGUGUUUAUGAAUGUAAAAGUGUGAAUGUCGAAAGUGUAUAGUUAUGUAUGGUGGGUCAUAGUUGGGUCUAUGGGUUUUGUGUUGACCCAACUAGACCCAACCCAAGAUUAACCCAAUUCAUAGUUGGUGGCUUGGGUUAUGACCCACUUGAUUAAAACCCAAUAUUGACCUGCCCAAUUGCCACCCUUAGUACUUUAUGUCAUGUUGUUGGUCUGUGUGCUCAAUCUGGACAAAAAUUUUUAGUUCUGAACCUUGCAAAAUUACAAAUGUCAAAGUUAUGUUAGAUUAGUGCUGGUGUCUUGCUUCUGAACAAAAGCUUUUACCAUGAAUUUUAGUUUCCUGCAGAUUGUGAUCUUACAGUUGCUCAGUCUUUGGAUUGAUGGAGUUAAUAAUUCGAAUGCAGAUUUUCUGAGAAACUUUUCAUUGUUUUGCCUUUUUCUUGAGGUUCCGGUGGGCAAUUUAGCAAAGUGGUUACUUCGUAAUCUUUUUUUUUUUUUUUUU